rnacentral:snRNA from 1 species
GGUUGUGAGGCCAUUCUGGUUGUGACUUCUGUCACUCCACUGAUUGCCAGGGUUGAUUUGCUGAUCUGGCUGGCAAGGGGAGUGGCCUUUUCCUCUAUCACUACUCUCCUUUUGUCCCUCCUGAAGCUAUAUGCUUGGUCAAAGAAGACAACCUUCCCCCACAGAAAAGGAAUAUGCUUUCAUCAAGGGUACAUGAGUAGAUGCCUUCCCAAGCUCCUAAAGAAGAAAUGUUAGACCCCUACCAACAGGAAUGUAUCUGCCUCUUCCUGUAUUC